AGCAGAGUAGCUUAGUGGAAAGAGCACGGGCUUGGAAGUCAGAGGACAUGGGUUCUAAUCCCACCUCCGUCC
rfam:Ornithorhynchus anatinus chromosome 3, whole genome shotgun sequence.